rnacentral:lncRNA from 1 species
AACAAUUAAUAGGAUUGAAAACAGAAGAGCAAAAUUUAAUUUUUUUUUGGUAAUAAACGACUAGAUUCCAUUCAACAAAAACAUAGUAUUACAUAAGGGGAGCUAUUCAUGGUGGUUCAACAGUAAGAUUAUACAUGAGAAGAUGUCCAUCCCUGGGUGGUUCUAAAGUGGGAACCAAUGACAAAAAAGAAGCUAUGUUACUAAAGGAUGUUGGAGCAGCUAUUGACGAGAUGAGUGCAAAAUAGUUUGAGCUGCAGUAGGGUCUUCGAUUGAAGCUGGACGUACACGUCGAACAUAAUGCGGGCCAUGAGUAUCUGCAUGCAGUAGAUCUACGACAAAAGAGGGCGCCUCAUAGUAUGUGUUGGCGGUGAUAUCUGGUGAUGUAUCAAAAAAUUGCUUUGCUAAGCAAUCUGCAACCAUAUUUUGCUCCCGAUAUGUAUGCUUGAUCAUGGGAUUACGUAGUUGGUGGAUGACGGAUCUGCAAUCAUUUAACAGAUGUGAGUAAGCAAGGUUAUCGUUUUUAAGAAAUUAUAUUACCUCUGUGGAAUCUGUUUCGACUUCCAAAAAGAGUAGGUUGUGGCUUAGAGCCAUCUGGAGUCCUUUCAAUAGAGCAAGUAGUUCCAUGUGUAUACGUCUUGUUUGAUAUAGCAGUAUUUGACUCACAAAUUAUAAAAUAUUAAUUUAACUUAAUUACAUAUUAUAUUAAUAGAGAUAAAGAAAACAAUAAAUAACUGAACCUCCAUGUGGUUGGAUGGAUGAUCGAGAUUCCUCUACUCUUAACUAUAGAUCUCGACUUUAAGCCUUCGGAAGGAAGAAACUCCUAAUAUGAAGUGUUCCUUACUUAAAUGCGCGGUGCGCCCUACGAGGCACGAAUCUAGAUUAGUCAUGUUAACAAAUUUUGGGUACCAAAUGAUUAUACCAAAAAAAAUUAUCACAAAAAUUGAGACAGCAGAAGCGAAAUAAAAAAAUCAAGUAUUACCCGUAACCUAUAGUCAAA